GCCCACCUCGGCCUCCCAAAGUGUUGGGAUUACAGGUGUGAGCCACCGUGCCUGGCCUAUUUGAUUUAAAAACACAGAGAUAAAUCCUUUUUCUCAGUGGAUAUGAUACAGAUUCCUUCAGCUCUCAGAUAUGUUUAACUCUUGAGCUUGUUAGUGUGUUCCAGAUAACAGAAUAAAUAAUUGAGGAAGUCUCCCAUUAGUAAACCCUUAGUUUUCUAAGAGAUAUCUAGAGUACUCAUGAUGUAGUGGGGUCUGGGGUGAAGGUGGUAACUCUGUAAAGCAAGAAGAGUUUGAGCAGCCGUAGUUUCUUUGAGUCUUUCACCUGUAUCCUUGGAAUUAAUCACUUGGAUGUUUUAGGUUUGAAUUUUAGCAUAUGAAUUACUAAAAUGUAGUGUAUUAUAGUGAGAAUAAUAAAGCCUAUGUGUAACAGGACUGUACAGUAGAGUAGGUUGUUUCUAUUUACAUGAUAACAUAAUGGUGAAAUAAUACAGUUUUUGUUGGCUCUCUACUGAGAGCUAGAGUAGGAAGUACAGUGCCAUAGUCCCUGCUCUUAAGAUAUUCACAGGCUGCCAAGGGAAAUUAUGAGUAAAUGAUUAAAAUGACAUGUUCAUAUUAUGAAAAGGUAAGCUCAGGAAAGGCAUGGAGGUCAGCUAACAGUGUUGGGGAGAAGGAUUAUUGGAAAUAAACAGUAUUUGUGCAGUAAGGCUUGACUAUUUACAGGACUUAGUUUUCAUUAGUCUCACAACAACCGUAUUAACCCAUGUAUGCUGAAGGUUGCAAAUUUUUUUUGUGAAAGACCUUGGUCAUGACCUUGAGCUGUAGGAUAUAAGUAACUCCCACAAGCUUAGCAUUCCCGUAAUGGAACACUAGGCAUAAAUGGGUUAAGUGACAAUGAGAUCACUAAAUGUUAGAGUGGUAACAUUUGCUAACUUGAGAUCACUAAAUGUUAGAGUCAAGAUUCCAUUUGAUUCAGGACUCCCUUUUUUCAGAAUAUUUACUUACAGUGCUUACGUUUAGAAGUAUUGCCUUUUAUCUGGGUAAAUCAGUUACUAGCAUCUGAUAUUAAUGGUAAGCAAGGGAGAUAUAUCACCUUGAAGUUUAUAUGAAUAGCAUCCCCUGGAGCCAUGCAGUUCAUUAUGUAGAGACCCUAGAAAUGUGCAAGGAGUAAUAACUGAGAGGUGUAAUCUAGUUGUUUACCAAAUAUAUAAGUGUCUGUGUGUAGGGCAGAGUUGCAGCUCUCUUUACGGCUGCUGUAGUAAGUAGGUAGGUGAACAGACCAAGUAGUUUGCAAUAGAUGAUAUGGUAAUAUGUAAAGUAGUCAGCUUACAAUUUUAGUUUAAAUGUUGCCUGAGAAGAAACUAAUGUUGCUGCUACCCAGCACAGCCUUAAACCUCUUUACCAAAACUGUGAAUUCAACUCAUUUGGGGCUUUCUUCAUGCAAUCUGCUGCUUUAUUUGUUUUUAUAAUAUGCUUUGUGUGAUUGAGUAUUUUCUCUGUAAAAGCUAAUGAUUAAAGAUAGUUGUGGAAGUGCCUGUUCCGAUUUACUAAUAUCCAGUUUUGAGUUGAUUAAAUACUUUGGCUUUCAUUGUCAAUAUGAAAAUCCAUCUGGCUAGAAAUCUGUGAGUAUUAAAUUUUCUUCAUGUCUGGAAUAUAGUAAAAUUGCUUAAGUGAUUUUCAUUUCAAACAUUUCCCAUAUGUUACUUUUAUAUCUUUAUAUCUUAUUUUCAGCCUUAAUUUUUCUCUCAAGAAGUUUUAGUAUUUGCCUAUUUGUACUUCUUUAGGUCUAGAAAUGGAAUACAAACUUCUGUUUUCAUUUUCAUUUUAUUUUCUCUUUCACACAUAGUAGGUGUUGGACUAAAGUAGAUGAAUGAAGAGUAAGUGGGAAGUUGGCAGUUUAUGUGAUUAAUCUUCAUAAAAUCCACAGCUGUUUUCACAGUUCUACCAGACUGUGAGUUCUUUGAGAAUAGGCAUUGAAUAUAUAUUUCAUCUACAGACUCUCAUAGGCUUAACACAAUAAAUAAUAAUAAAUAUUUGUGGAAUGAAUAAGCCUUUGAAAGAUUGCUUUUAUAUUGUUGGAGGUAGGGAUUUCAUUAUAUUUAGAUUCUAGUGGUAAAAAAAAAAUUCUCAAAUCUAAAGAAAACAUUGCUAUAGCCAUAACAAGUUUUCUGUGCAAAACUUAUAACUAUUUUUAGAACGUACUCCUUUGGGUUAUGGCCGCAGUAUAAAGUGAUGGCAUAUUAGGCUGUUUUCAGUAAUAUGGUAGCAAGAAAAUGCUGGGUGGAGAGGUGUGAUACCUUACUGAACUCAUCAUAAGGAUUGCAGCUGACAGUCUUAUAACAAAAGACGGGUUAUCAAGAUAAAACCCUAACAAAUUUAUUUAAAAACAAGUGACUUUCCUUGCUAACUUGCAUUUGGAAAGGAAGAUAUAAAGAGGAAUUUUUACCUUCUGUUCUUGACCAGCCACUAUAGGCAGAGAUCCAAGAAAGCUGAUUUUGUUUAAAAAACAAAAAAA